rnacentral:rRNA from 1 species
CCUACGGGAGGCAGCAGUGAGGAAUAUUGGUCAAUGGGCGCGCGCCUGAACCAGCCAAGUAGCGUGAAGGAUGACUGCCCUACGGGUUGUAAACUGCUUUUAUAAAGGAAUAAAGUGAGGCACGUGUGCCUUUUUGUAUGUACUUUAUGCAUAAGGCUCGGCUAACUCCGUGCCAGCAGCCGCGGUAAUACGGAGGAUCCGAGCGUUAUCCGGAUUUAUUGGGUUUAAAGGGAGCGUAGAUGGGUUGUUAAGUCAGUUGUGAAAUGUGGCGGCUCAAACAUAAACUUGCAAUUGCAACUGGAAGCCUUGAGUACAGUUGAGGUAGGCGGAAUUCGUGGUGUAGCGGUGAAAUGCUUAGAUAUCACGAAGAACUCCGAUUGCGAAGGCAGCCUACUAAACUGCCACUGACAUUGAGGCUCGAAAGUGUGGGUAUCAAACAGGAUUAGAUACCCCAGUAGUC